CCUGAUAUAUAUACUCUUCCUCUUUUUUUUAAAAAAAAAAAUUUCUUCUCUUUUUGCCCUAAAUUUCAUCUUCGUUCAUCACUAAGGAACGAACUCUUCAUAUUGGCACCACCGAUUCUCCAUCUCUACCGGCACCGUCGAUUCUCCAUCUCCAUCGGCACCACCGACUCUCCUCCUCUCCACCGACACCGCCAACUGUCCUCCUGCAGCAAUUAACAGUCUCAAAAAGCUUAUACAGUGUACAGAUGAAUUUUGUUACAGUCGGCACAUUACAGAUGCAAAAAAAUCUAUAGCGAAGUAGGAGACCGUCUCAAUUAAUACUCUUUACCAUCGUAAAUAUGCUGCGACGACAUAGUUCCCGACUCAAAAACUUUUAGCGACCCCCAUAUUCUCGUCCCUCACCAUGCCG